UCGCUCCCCUCCCCUAGAGGGGCCCGGGGCAGAGGAGCUGCAGUCCAGUGGGGGAGCGAGCAGCAAUGUCAGCUGCUCCAUCUCUGCAUCCAGCAGAUGGAGCAUUUGCUCCAGGUGUGGCAGGGCAGAACUGGCCGAAAAAACAUCACAGCCGGAACCUGCAGUGUGUGGAGCUCAGUGUGGGGUGCCCAGAAUUGGACACAGGACUCCAGCUCAGCUAACCGCAGUGCAGAGCAGAGCGAGACAACGACCUCCUACAACACUCACGUUAAUACACCCCAGAAUACCAGCCUUUUCCCCAGCUGCAUCAAUGUGUGACAGCCAGACAGCGUCUGAGGUAUGGAGUGUCUCUCACACUGGAGAUGUGGACUACGCGACCCUCCCUGCCAAUGCAACGGACCAGGGAAGAACCUGACCAGAUUCAGACACGCAGACCCCACAGCUUCUAAUAGCUGAGGGCCCAGAAAUCCCUUACCCAGCGAGGUCACCAUCUCAUAGUUCUCCUGCAUGACGUCCCUGUAGACAGCUCUUUGCCUGGGGUCCAGCAGAGCCCCCUGUCCCUCGGUGAAAUACACAGCCACCUCCUCGAAGGUCACCGGCAUCUGAAACAUCAGUUCCCCCACUCAGCGCCUGCUGCCCCAGCUACAAUCCCACUAGUCACAGGGGAGGAGGCCCAGAGAAGCAGAAUCCCACCCGCACCCUGCUCAGAGCAGCCAGGAGGCUUCAGGGGGUGGGGAGAAGGUGAGAGCUCCUUGUUCCCCCAGCAGAUGGGGGCAGGGCAGGGUCUUCUCAUUUACCACACGCCUGCCAGCCACAGGCUGAUGCAGGAAGCAGAGCUCUGAGCCGGGGACAGGGACAGGAAUCCCAACAGCUUCCCUUCGUAUUUCACAGCAGUCUGUGGCCAGUGGGGUGAGGCUGCAGCACUGGGAGUCUGGUCAGUUUUCCCAGCCCUGCCCAGGGGGGUGUUUCCUGUAUCAGAAAUGGGGGAAUGUCUCCCCCUUCCCCCACCCGCCAAUGGGUCGGUUCAGAAAAAUCAGGCUUCAAGUUGAACCUGUCCCAGCAGGUUUAUCACACCCUGUCCCAUCCCUGCCUCCCCCUGUGUGUUUCCUGCCCCUCCCCGCUAGCAAAUCCCCCCUGCACCUCCAUGAAAAUCCCUUACCUGAGCUGGCUCCAUCACAGCCAUUUCCCUUCCCUGUCCCCUGGAAGAUGGGACGAUCUGGAGUGAAACGUGGAUGUGAUUCCUCAGCCUGUCAGGGCGAGAGGGGCGAUGCGGGAGGUUUCAGAAGGGGAUUGAAUCCAUUUCACACCCCGAUUCCCCCCAGGCUCUCUCCCUGCAGACAGACACUCUGCUCUCUGCCAUGCUGGGAAAACCCUCAGUCACUUUAUUCCAACACAGACCCGGCCCCUCCCAGCACUGAAUCCCUGAGACACUUUUAAACCCUCCCGGGUUUAAAAGACAAAUACUAGAAAAGCAGAAUGAAAGGAACCACUUUGGGGGAUUUCCCCUGACAUUGGCCCGGAGGGCAGGGCGCUGCUGGGACCGGCUUUUCCUCUGUCAGCUCCUCCCCUUGUUCCCAGGAGAGUCAGUCGGCCCAGGGGGAUGCAGGGAAUGGAUCCAGGCAGGGCUGGGAACCUCCCUCCCCACUUCUUGCUCCUGCUGCCCCUUUCGGUCUCGCUCCUCCCCUUCCUGUCUCUGUCCCUCUCCCUUCUGCCUGGGAGAACUGGUGCCUGUCCUGUUCCCAUGGGCACUUGCUCUCCAGCGUGAGCCUGGCUGUGUCACUGGGGGCAACAACUCUGGGAGCCGCAGACACGGGGGAGCCCCUCCCCCCCCCCCGGUAUAAACUCACCAGCUGCAGGUCCCUGAAAGGGGCCCUUUGUGCAGAGUCACUUUCCUGCUCGGCCCAGGCCCUUUCCCCUGGGUCUCUCCCAGUCACCUACAGGCUCUGGCUCAGCGGUUGGUGUGGGCAGAGCCCGGGGCUGCCCCAGGGGACUAGUUCCAGCCACUUGAGAAAGUGCUCACCCAGACUGGGCCCAGCAGGGGCUUUAAUGAAGGUCUGUCCCUGGCACAGACCCCACUGGGGAGCAGCAGUCUCACAGUCUGGGCUCUCAGGUAGAGGAGGCAGCAGCAGCUGACCCAGGCAGCUCAAUUCAAGGGCUCUAAUAUCAGGAACAGAGAGAGACACGCACCAGCCUCCUCCUCUCCCUGAGCAAUAGCCAGAGCCCUCUGGUGGCAGCAGCUAAUGACUGAGCCUCCCUGUGCUGCCCCAGGGACAGGCAGGCAAAAGCUGAUCCCAGUGGCCCAUCCGCACGCACCCCCUGCCAGAGCCAGCAGUGACUCCGGUCUGACACCUGAAUCCUGCCCAGAAAUCAGAGCAGGGCCCUGGGCAGCCCCAAACACUCAGGAGACAGACCCCAAAACCAUGAGUGUGUCUGAAAAUAAUAAAUUAGGAGCAGGGUGUUGUGACAAAGUGGGAAUGUUCUUAAUGUUUUCUCUGAAUACUGUGCGGGUGCCUCAGUUUCCCCUAUGCAUUUCUUAAGUAUCUAGGUGGUGGCAUAAGGGUGUGUGAUUAUUGCAGAGCCUUAGAGGGCCAGUGUGAUGCUGUCUGCAUAGAGAAUGGCUGACACCAUGUCUCCUGGCAACUGAUGGCCUGGCCCCUCCCCUGCAAAGGUGCCAACUGAAACUGUUGGGAGAACAAAGAGAUCAGGUGGCCUCCUAGCCAGGAAAGAGACAAAGGCCAGAGGAGGGGCUGGAGAGUUUCAGUUUGGAGCUGGCUGGGGAAAUGGAGGGAGGCCAGAUGGGGCUCUGGGCUCCCUGGCCCCAAGAUGGACCUGACUUAGGGAUCCUGUUCUCUGUACCUACAAGCUCUGUUUUAGACCGUGUUCCUGUUGUCUAAUAAACCUUCUGUUCUACUGGC